AACUGCAAGGUGCAGUUGCACAGGCAGCCAGCUUGAUCAUUCUGGCGGGUCACAAUGUUCACAUAACACUGGGAAACAAACAAGAUACUGCUUUGGACUUGGCUCACUGGUAUGUCCUCCAGCGGACCCGAGCAGCUUUUGAAAGGUUCAGAGAUGGCUUAACGUCUCUAGGUGUCCUAGAUGCUCUUCAGAGAUACCCUCUACAGUUGAAGUGCCUUUUCGUGAAGGCUGAAAAGGGUUUGACAGCGGCUGAUAUGGAGAAUCUCUUCCAGAUCAUUCACUCCGAAAGAGGGAGUAAUGCAUUCCAAGAAGAGUGCCGGAACCAGGCUUUCUGGCAGGACUAUCUUCAGGAUGCUGAAUUCGAAAACGAUGUCUCUCUGGAGGAUAUUCUUGUUUUCUUCACUGGAUGUGACAGCAUUCCAGCACUGGGUUUCUCUCCAAAGCCAAGCCUUGAGUUCAUCACCCACUCCCGAUUUCCAGU